UGGGGUAUAGCUCAUUGGUAGAGUGCAUGCUUAGCAUGCACAAGGUCCUGGAUUCAAUCCCCAGUACCUCCA
rnacentral:tRNA from 1 species